AGUGAGUUUGAAAAAAAUGCUUAUCUUUAAUACUGAAAUUACUCUGCUGAUUGGAUGGAGAAGAGGAAGGGGUGGAGAAUGGACAAAAGGAGAAAAAGAGGCAUUUUCUAAGGUAACCUAUUGCUGCAGACCGAGUUGGGCUCUUCAAAGGAACAUGCUAUGGGGGAAAAAAAGAGCUGUUACAUGAAUGUCGCAUGGAGAAAAGAUGCUGGAAUCCCAUCACUGACUACAAGGCUGGGUGGCUUGGGACAGUUCAAGAGAGGAUUUGAAUCAAGAAGGAAACCAAUGUGCUUUUGAAGAAGAAAAAAAAUACGGAAGAAUGGAAUAAAGUGGCAUGUUUGUUAAGAACAUCUCCUUUCGGCAUGGGAGAACUUGUGUGCAAAAAUCAGUCCUGAGUAUGGAUCCUCAAGAAAAUGUUGCUGACUAAAGUUCACUGACAGCUUCUGCCAAUUACUACCUGGAACUGCAGCUGAAAGGGCAACACGGAGAUGAAAGAGUGUGUAUUUUACGGCCGGUCUUCUGAACUGCCUGCAAUAUGUAUUUGUAGGGGUUAAUCAAAAAGUAGCCAAUCUGGAAGAGAUUUUAUUUUGCUUUCAGACUCCUCUGAAGUUCAUUCCUGAAACUUGUUAGUCACCAAGAGAGAAAGAAAGCGGGAGGGAGAGAGUGGCUAAGACAAGUCUGAGGAAGGAGAAAUUAUGACUAAGAAGAAAAAAGGAGGAGAAUAUUUUCAAGAUGGAAAAGUUAACAGCUUUCAGCUGCAGGUUCCAUCCCUCUACGUCUUACGAGGAAUGCCUCCAGAAACCAAACAACAUCAACCUUUCCCGGUAUUUCUCAAAUAAGGGAGGACAAGCACACGAACCAGUACUGUUCCUGUGGCCGAAAACUGCUACAUCUUUUUCUGGUUCAGCUGAGAGGAAGGCCAGUUUUGUUUUCUCUGACUCCCUAGAAUGGAGGAGCUAAAUUUGCUCUAGGAAGAGAUUCCCCGUUCAUCACUCCCUGACAUGAAACCCAAGUCCUGCAUAUUUUGUGGAGUCUUAGGCCAGACAAACAGCCUGAAUGCCGACUCCACUGAAACCAGCGGGUGCUCUGCAAGUACCUUGGGGAAAAUACAGAUUAAAGUUGUACUGAAGUCUUCUUUUGCCUUCAUAUAGCUUUUGAUUUCCUAAAUGUUUUUCUAGAAUUUUUAUGCUUUGUGCAUGCUCAAUUGGACAUUUUGUUAUUAUUUUUGGUCUGAAAAAUGACGUCAAGCUGAAGUGAUAUCUGAUGGUGGCUUGGUAUUUAGCAGCUACUCUUCCUUCCUUGUGUCUUAGUUUCAGUCACUCUCUGGCUUUGCCCAUACCCUCUGAUAGAGGCAACACCACUAGCUCCAAAACAGACCCACUGUUGGCCAAGGACGAGCCCAUCAGCACCAGUGGUAGCACCUCUGGGAUAACGUCAUUAAAUAGCAGAGUUACUGUGCAACAGCAAUUGCGGCUGGACGGAGGAGUGAGAAUACAUGAGAGAAGCAACUGCAGACACAAAGGUCAGCGAAGAACAAGGGGGAGGAGGUGUUCCAGGCUCCGGAGCAGAGAUUUCCUGCAGCCUGUGGUGCAGACCAUGGUGAGGCCGGCUGUGCCCCUGCAGCCCAUGGAGGUCCAGGGUGGAGCAGAGAUCCACCUGCAGCCUGGGGAGGACCCCACACCAGAGCAGGUGGAUGCCCAAAGGAGGCUGUGACCCUGGGGGAAGCCCAUGCUGGGGGAAGCCCAUGCUGGAGCAAGCUCCUGGCAGGACCUGUGGCCCCAUGGAGAGAGGAGCCCACACUGGAGCAGGUUUGCUGGCAGAACUUGUGACCCAUGGGGGACCCAGGAUGGAGUAGCCUGUUCCUAAAGCGCUGCACACCAUGGAAGGGACCCAUGCUGGAGCAGUUCAUGAAGAACUGCAGCCUGUGGAAAGGACUCACAUUGGAGAAGUUCACAGAGGACUCCCUCCCAUGGGAAGUACCCCACACUGGAGCAGGGGAAGAGGAUGAGGACUCCUCCCCUGAGGAGGAAGGAACAACCCAGACAACGUGUCAUGGACUGACCACAACCCCCAUUCCCUGUCCUCCUGUGCUGCUGGUGGGGAGGAGGUAGAAAAUUCAGGAGUAAAGUUAAGCACAGGAAGAAGAGAGGUGUGGGGGGAAGGUGUUUUAAGAUUUCAUUUUUAUUUUCAUUACUCUACUCUGAUUUUAUUGGCAAUAAAUUAAUUUCACCAA